AUUAGAGGUCAAUUUGGAGGAAAGUGACUCAGUAAUGCUAUGUGAUGUAGGACAUAGUAUCUCCUCAGAAUUCAGGAAUUUUCAGGUAAUCACUAUAGGAAUGUCAGAUUAUGAAGUAGGACAGAGAUGGCAGAAUCCCAGAAGCUUGUGUACUUUGAUUUUGGUUUUGCUAGGGCUUCUUCUUUGGGAGUCCACUGCCUUUCCAAGGCCACAGAUGGAAGCAUAGACAAAGCAAAACAAGGUAUAAACUUGAGUGCAUUUCAAAGUGCUCACGUUUCACCCCCCAGUCUUUCCACUCUUAGUUCUUCAGUACUUGAGCUGCCACCAAAUAUAAUUUCCUGAUGCUUCCUGGUGAGAGUGAUAAGUUCUAUUAACUGCUUAGUCUAAAUAUACUCAAUACAUGUCUAUAGCUGUACUGAAUAAACUAUGCCUGUUUUUAUGGGUGCUUGUAAAUAUAACUCACAGAAGCCAUCCCGGCACCUAGCAUGGAAAUGUCUUGUGUCACCAAAUCCCUCUGCAUGACUUCUUUCAGUAUAACAAAAUCACAGUGGAUGGAUCCAUUUUUCCAUGAUCAAAAGAAACUGCAAUUAAAGAAUUUCUUCAGGUUGCAUGGAUAAUUGAUACAACACAGUGUGCCGAAGGUAUAUUAUCUAUUAUGAUAAC